UGGGGAAUUUUGGACAAUGGGCGAAAGCCUGAUCCAGCCAUGCCGCGUGAGUGAAGAAGGCCUUCGGGUUGUAAAGCUCUUUUAGUCGGAAAGAAAGAGUUGCAAUGAAUAAUUGUGAUUUAUGACGGUACCGACAGAAAAAGCACCGGCUAACUACGUGCCAGCAGCCGCGGUAAUACGUAGGGUGCGAGCGUUAAUCGGAAUUACUGGGCGUAAAGGGUGCGCAGGCGGUCUUGCAAGUCAGAUGUGAAAGCCCCGGGCUUAACCUGGGAAUUGCGUUUGAAACUACAGGACUAGAGUGCAGCAGAGGGGAGUGGAAUUCCAUGUGUAGCAGUGAAAUGCGUAGAGAUGUGGAAGAACACCGAUGGCGAAGGCAGCUCCCUGGGUUGACACUGACGCUCAUGCACGAAAGCGUGGGGAGCAAACA
rnacentral:rRNA from 1 species